UGGUAGGUGGGGGACAACGUUACGAAAGGAACGCUAAUACCGCAUACGUCCGUACGGGAGAAAGCAGGGGACCGUUCGGGCCUUGCGUUAUCAGAUGAGCCUAGGUCGGAUUAGCUAGUAGGUGAGGUAAUGGCUCACCUAGGCGACGAUCCGUAACUGGUCUGAGAGGAUGAUCAGUCACACUGGAACUGAGACACGGUCCAGACUCCUACGGGAGGCAGCAGUGGGGAAUAUUGGACAAUGGGCGAAAGCCUGAUCCAGCCAUGCCGCGUGUGUGAAGAAGGUCUUCGGAUUGUAAAGCACUUUAAGUUGGGAGGAAGGGCAGUAAGUUAAUACCUUGCUGUUUUGACGUUACCAACAGAAUAAGCACCGGCUAACUUCGUG
rnacentral:rRNA from 1 species